rnacentral:rRNA from 2 species
CCAUGUGUAGCGGUGAAAUGCGUAGAUAUAUGGAAGAAACACCAGUGGCGAAGGCGGCUGUCUGGUCUGUAACUGACGCUGAGGCUCGAAAGCAUGGGUAGCGAACAGGAUUAGAUACCCUGGUAGUCCAUGCCGUAAACGAUGAAUGCUAGGUGUUGGAGGGUUUCCGCCCUUCAGUGCCGCAGCUAACGCAUUAAGCAUUCCGCCUGGGGAGUACGACCGCAAGGUUGAAACUCAAAGGAAUUGACGGGGGCCCGCACAAGCGGUGGAGCAUGUGGUUUAAUUCGAAGCAACGCGAAGAACCUUACCAGGUCUUGACAUCUUUUGAUCACCUGAGAGAUCAGGUUUCCCCUUCGGGGGCAAAAUGACAGGUGGUGCAUGGUUGUCGUCAGCUCGUGUCGUGAGAUGUUGGGUUAAGUCCCGCAACGAGCGCAACCCUUAUGACUAGUUGCCAGCAUUUAGUUGGGCACUCUAGUAAGACUGCCGGUGACAAACCGGAGGAAGGUGGGGAUGACGUCAAAUCAUCAUGCCCCUUAUGACCUGGGCUACACACGUGCUACAAUGGAUGGUACAACGAGUUGCGAGACCGCGAGGUCAAGCUAAUCUCUUAAAGCCAUUCUCAGUUCGGACUGUAGGCUGCAACUCGCCUACACGAAGUCGGAAUCGCUAGUAAUCGCGGAUCAGCACGCCGCGGUGAAUACGUUCCCGGGCCUUGUACACACCGCCCGUCACACCAUGAGAGUUUGUAACACCCGAAGCCGGUGGCGUAACC